AUUUUAUUGGUUUAUUAAUAUUAAAUUGAAUCACAGAAUUACAAAACCGAGUAUCACUGCCAUAAAUAGGUUUGGGAAUAAGCACUUGUUUCUGGGAAAGCAGAUGGGUUAACUGGAAGCGAUGUAUGUGGGUAUUCUAAGGAACAUCCUGCCAGACAGGGGUGUUCAGCCCACAGUUUAUGGAGAGCAUGGCAAGCGUGGCUGUUCCGAGAGGGCUCGUUCGGUGCUGGUGGAACAGAGAGCUCAGGCUGUGGUGUGGCUUCCACCACCCUGCAAACUAAGUCCCAUUCACUCCUCCAUCCCCUUUCAACCUUACAGAAAUGUGCUGAACUCUCUCAUCCGUCAAUGACCCCUGCCUCUCUUCCUGUCCUCUGGGUUUAUAUCUUCUCUUUUCCUUACUGUCAUUUUAAGGGGAGGGGGUGUCGAGAGGGAGAAAAGAUGAGCAUUAAAGUUCAAGCUGCCAUUUGUAUCCAGACAAUUCUCUCUUAUUUAAGACUCCCAACAGCCAGUGAGUGUCAGAGCCUAUUAUUAUCCCCACAAAGGUCACACAGCUGUAAGUGACAGAAGCAAGUUUCAAACUCAGGUCUGUCAGAGGCUGUAGUGGAUGCUGUGGUGCUUUGCCCAGAUCCCCUCUCAGGGUCAACACACCAUCGGCCAGCUGCUGGGGCGUUGGUUGCUGGUGGCUCCCUGGAAAUUGCCCUUGGCUGUAGGAACUGCCUCGCCCUGGCGGAAGUCUUUCCUCUGGAGAUCACCGUGGCCCGUGACUGGCUGAUGCAGGGAUAUGAAAGCCCAACCCUACUCCCUCAAUUUGGGACAAUUCUCAGGGGCCCUCCCAGCUCCAAAGCUCCUUGUGGGCUGGACUUCUGUAAAGAGAAACAUCCUCUCGUAAACGAUUUGGAUCCUCUAAGGGAGGAAUAACUGGGCCCUGGAUGUGAUGUGAUGAGUGAAUAUUCCUGAUGAGAAGUGGAAAUAAUUCAUGGUUGAGAGCUGUGCCUCAGAUCAGAGUGACAGGAUACAUGGCCAGGCUAUAUUUUCCAGCAGAUUACGUUAAAAGCUGUGGCCUAAGACUCUAAAGUAUGAAGACAAAAGGAGAAGAUGACACAAUAUCUUUCUAAAGAAAUAUUUUCCAGCCAAACGGUGCAGCAGAUGACUUCUAGGAAUUUGUUCUUGUUCUCUAUUGAAGGUGAGGAAAUGAGGACAUAGAGGCUCAGAGGGUCAGAUGACUUACUGAAGAUGUCAAAUUAACGAGAGUGUGGUGAUCUGCAUUCAGUCUGUCUGGCUAUUUUUUUUCUCAGAGAGAGAGAACUUCCAGCUGCAGUGGAUCAGUUUAAUUCAUGUUAUUUGUUGAGUGCCCUCUGUGUGCUGAGUGCUGUGCUGUCUCCUAUAAAACGUCUCCAACAUUCCUCUUCCUCUUCCCCAGGCUGAGACUACCUUUAUUUCCCCAGCAAUUCCAAUUCUGUCUAGUCUUUAAGGUUCAGCUUUAGCCUGCUCCCUUCAGGAAGUUUGCCCUGAUUACCCCAGGAAUCCCUUCUUUCUGAACCUCUCUUGAGUGCCCCUCAAUUCCAGGAAAGAGUGUGCAGGAAAGAGUGAGAGGCAGAGUGGAUCCUUUUGUUUACCCCCAGGAAUUGACAAUAAGUUUAUAGCUUAGAAAAAGGACACAAAGUCCCCACAUUUUAAAGAGACUGACCAGGAGUCAGGGUGGCCUUCUUCUGGCUGAGAGGCUCCUGGUUAAAAAAACCAGCCCCACUCUGACCUCUUCCCCCUAGAAGAGGAGGAUUGCGAGAGGGAAAAGCUGUUUUUCAUCUCGUUUCCUUGGGGGAGACAAAGGAUUUACCCUCCCUGAGACAAGGCCCCAAGGAAAGGACGGAUUGACAUUUUGUUUCUCCGUUUAACUACCUGGCCUUGCUCUGGUGUAGCAGCAGAAACGCAGAGGAGACAGGGAGUUAUUUGGCCAGAUAAAUGGGGCAAGGACAGCCCUCAUACCAGUUCAGGUCUUGAAUUCCUCACAGUCCUCUGAGUAGAGAUGCAUAGAGAUUAGGGACCUCAUGCAGUGACGGGCAUCAGGAGAAUGAGUUGUGAGACCAUGAUGGGGGUGUCAGCCCAGGAUGAGGCAAAUCUCAGUGGGGAUCACCAGUAUGUAGUGGAGCUGCUUGGAGAGGGCCCUCAUCAGCAGAGUUUGUGAGAGCCUCUCCACCACCCAUAAGGAGCCCAUAGACAACAAACCAGAUCCAUGGUGAGGCACAAUUCGAACACCACCUCACUGUGAGCUGUCACACUAAGAGUCUGCUACCUCCUGCCUUCCUCCUCACACUCCAAUACUAGAGCAGUGAAAGAGGGAAGAGGAGCUGAGUGAGAGCAGACCCUGCCCCAUCGACUCGACCAAGAUCCUUGAAGUGGGUUAGAGAUGGUGUGGGAAGGAGGCAUGGAAUGACAGGGGUGGGGUAGGAAGAGCUUUGAAUCAAACAUAAGAAUAAAAAAAAAUAACUAAAUAGGAUUGAGUCCUAAAGAACCCAAAUGAGACUAGUCUAAUAACUGAAAGUGACUGAAAACUUAUGGCCUCAGACCGAGAGUUUGUUAAGGCAGCCUGCUACCCAGCAGGACAAGGGAGGGUUCAACAGAACACAGUUGGUAGCAGUUAUUGGAAAAAUAAAACUUUCCCAGGUUUAUACCCCAAUGAACUGAAACUCACAGUAAAUCAGUUUCAUACUCAUCCAUUUAGCUACUGUUUGCUGAGCUUCUAGUCUUUGCCAGACAAUGCUCUUGGCACUGGCGAUUCCAAGGAGCUUAUCCUGGUGGGGAGACAGACACGUGAAAAAGGAACUGUUCGGUGUGAUAAAUGCUAUGAGAUAGGAUGGUGGAGUACAGUGGGGCAUGGAGGAGAGAGGAACUUAGCUAUGGUUGUGUGUUUCAGGGGAAAGAGUAGGGACAUUUUUCUGGGGUCUUGAAGAAUGAACAGGAGUUGACUAGGUAGCUGCACUGGGGAAAGAUAUCCAUGUACAAAGGCACAAAAACAUGAAAUAAUGGGACACAUUGGGGGAACUGUGAAGAAUGUGUUUGAGAAAUGCAUAAGGGGUAUUUAUUACUACCAUUUUGCUUCUUAUUUUCCUUGUAUCUCCUUUGCUCAACUGGACUGUAGGCUCCUUCAAAGAAGAGCAAUGUCAAAUCUCAAUUUUAUCCCCUUACUACAACUAGCACAGCUGUUCAA
ensembl:lncRNA